UAUAAACACGCAUUUGUUCGUUACAAUCACGAUUAUAAAUACAUUAAAUGAUACCAACAAUGUCUCAUACUACAACUCCCAGAAUGCCGUGCGCGACGCAGCUGUCGUUAAUAGCCACCCCUUUCUGCCCGGUGGAGUCGAGCCGAAAGGAGCAUUAAAGCCAGUAAAAGGUGGUGGCAAAGAUGCAAAAGGUGACCAAAACCAUAUAACAGGAAUUCAUCACUUAUUGCAAGGUGUCAAUAUUGCAACGUACACUUGCAGGGGCGAGGCACUUUCACCAAAGCAACUGACGCUUCCCCCGACAGAGCUGCAUCAAAAGAGAGGAUGGAUCUCAGCACGGCAGGAGCACACUCACACUCAUACGCACACAGCGCAGGAGGAAACAGGAAGCAGUGAGAAAAGACGGGCGGGAAGAGCAGGCACAAGGAGCUGAUUGGCUGACACAGAAGAGUCUGAUUGGCUAAUGAGACCAGAUAAGACUAACAGCAUGAAACGGGUAUGUUUGAGUUGAGUUGUUGAGUUUGAGUUUAUUUCGAACAUGCAAACAAUUACCACGUGAUACAUCACAAUUUCCACUUUCUCUUUUCAACAUGUUCGAAAAGGAGUAGGAAGAAGCAGAGCUUGUUUAAUCCUACCCCUUUUCCUUUACAUAGCAGUUGUUAACACUUUU